GAUGAACGCUGGCGGCGUGCCUAAUACAUGCAAGUCGAGCGAAUGGAUUAAGAGCUUGCUCUUAUGAAGUUAGCGGCGGACGGGUGAGUAACACGUGGGUAACCUGCCCAUAAGACUGGGAUAACUCCGGGAAACCGAGGCUAAUACCGGAUAACAUUUUGAACCGCAUGGCUCGAAAUUGAAAGGCGGCUUCGGCUGUCACUUAUGGAUGGACUCGCGUCGCAUUAGCUAGUUGGGGAGGUAACGGCUCACCAAGGCAACGAUGCGUAGCCGACCUGAGAGGGUGAUCGGCCACACUGGGACUGAGACACGGCCCAGACUCCUACGGGAGGCAGCAGUAGGGAAUCUUCCGCAAUGGACGAAAGUCUGACGGAGCAACGCCGCGUGAGUGAUGAAGGCUUUCGGGUCGUAAAACUCUGUUGUUAGGGAAGAACAAGUGCUAGUUGAAUAAGCUGGCACCUUGACGGUACCUAACCAGAAAGCCACGGCUAACUACGUGCCAGCCGCCGCAGUAA
rnacentral:rRNA from 1 species